GCGGGUGUGGCGGAACUGGCAGACGCGCUAGACUUAGGAUCUAGUUCCUCGGAGUGCAGGUUCGAUUCCUGUCACCCGCACCA
rnacentral:tRNA from 1 species